rnacentral:rRNA from 1 species
UACGGGGGGGCAAGGCGUUGUUCGGAAUUACUGGGCGUAAAGGGCUCGUAGGUGGCCAACUAAGUCAGACGUGAAAUCCCUCGGCUUAACCGGGGAACUGCGUCUGAUACUGGAUGGCUUGAGGUUGGGAGAGGGAUGCGGAAUUCCAGGUGUAGCGGUGAAAUGCGUAGAUAUCUGGAGGAACACCGGUGGCGAAGGCGGGUUGCUGGGCUGACACUGACGCUGAGGCGCGAAAGCUAGGGGAGCGAACAGG